AGAGUUUGAUCAUGGCUCAGAGCGAACCGGCAGGCUUAACACAUGCAAGUCGAGCGGGUGUAGCAAUACAUCAGCGGCAGACGGGUGAGUAACGCGUGGGAACGUACCUUUUGGUUCGGAACAACCAAGGGAAACUUGGACUAAUACCGGAUAAGCCAUUACGGGGCCAGAUUUAUCGCCGCCAGAUCGGCCAGCGUCUGAUUAGCUAGUUGGUGAGGUAACGGCUCACCAAGGCGACGAUCCGAAGCUGGUCUGAGAGGAUGAUCAGCCACAUUGGGACUGAGACACGGCCACCACUCCUACGGGAGGCAGCCAAGGGGAAUAUUGGACAAUGGGCGCAAGCCUGAUCCGGCCAUGCCGCGUGAGUGAUGAAGGCCAUAGGGUUGUCCGGCUCUUUUGUGCGGGAAGAUAAUGACGGUACCGCAAGAAUAAGCCACGGCUAACUUCGUGCCAGCAGCCGCGGUAAUACGAAGGGGGCUAGCGUUGCUCGGAAUCACUGGGCGUCCGGGGUGCGUAGGCGGGUCUUUAAGUCAGGGGUGCCAUCCUGGAGCUCAACUCCGGAACUGCCUUUGAUACUGAAGAUCUUGAGUUCGGGAGAGGUGAGUGGAACUGCGAGUGUAGAGGUGCCAUUCGUAGAUAUUCGCAAGAACACCAAAGGCGAAGGCGGCUCACUGGCCAGAUACUGACGCUGAGGCACGCCAGCGUGGGGAGCCAACAGGAUUAGAUACCAUGGUAGUCCGCGCCGUCCGCGAUGAAUGCCAGCCGUUAGUGGGUUUACUCACUAGUGGCGCAGCUAACGCUUUAAGCAUUCCGCCUGGGGAGUACGGUCGCAAGAAUCAGACUCCGAGGAAUUGACGGGGGCCAGCACAAGCGUGGAGCAUGUGGUUUAAUUCGACGCAACGCGCAGAACCUUACCAGCCAUUGACAUCCGGGUCGC
rnacentral:rRNA from 1 species